rnacentral:rRNA from 1 species
CGCACAGCUCAGUAACAUGUGGCUAACCUGCCCUUGGGAUAGGAACACCCCCGGGAAACUGGGGCUAAUUCCCAAUAGGUGAAGAACUCUGGAAUGAGUCUCCGCCAGAAAAGACGUUUACGCCAUGCUUGUAGGCGUCGCCCAAGGAUGGGGCCGCAACCGAUCAGGUUGUUGGUGAGGUAACGGCUCACCAAGCCUUUUACCGGUACGGGCCGUGAGAGCGGGAGCCCGGAGAUGGGCACUGAGACAAGGGCCCAGGCCCUACGGGGCGCAGCAGUCGCGCAAACUUUGCAAUACACGAAAGUGUGACAGGGCUAUCCCGAGUGCCGCCCGCUGAGGGUGGCUUUUGCUCAGUUUAGCAAGCUGGGAGAAUAAGGAGAGGGCAAGUCUGGUGUCAGCCGCCGCGGUAAUACCAGCUCUCCGAGUGGUGUGGAUGUUUAUUGGGCCUAAAGCAUCCGUAGCUUGCUGUUCAAGUCCCCUGUUAAACCCAACGAAUUAAUCGUUGGAUCGCGGAGGAUACUGCUCAGCUAGGGGGCGACACAUGCCCGACUGUAUUUCCGGGGUAGGUAUCAAAUCCCAU